GAUUCCUACGGGAGGCAGCAGUGGGGAAUAUUGCACAAUGGGCGGAAGCCUGAUGCAGCAACGCCGCGUGCGGGAUGACGGCCUUCGGGUUGUAAACCGCUUUCGCCUGUGACGAAGCGUGAGUGACGGUAAUGGGUAAAGAAGCACCGGCUAACUACGUGCCAGCAGCCGCGGUGAUACGUAGGGUGCGAGCGUUGUCCGGACUUAUUGGGCGUAAAGGGCUCGUAGGUGGUUGAUCGCGUCGGAAGUGUAAUCUUGGGGCUUAACCCUGAGCGUGCUUUCGAUACGGGUUGACUUGAGGAAGGUAGGGGAGAAUGGAAUUCCUGGUGGAGCGGUGGAAUGCGCAGAUAUCAGGAGGAACACCAGUGGCGAAGGCGGUUCUCUGGGCCUUUCCUGACGCUGAGGAGCGAAAGCGUGGGGAGCGAACAGGCUUAGAUACCCUGGUAGUCCACGCUGUGAACGGUGGGUACUAGGUGUGGGGUCCAUUCCACGGGUUCCGUGCCGUAGCUAACGCUUUAAGUACCCCGCCUGGGGAGUACGGCCGCAAGGCUAAAACUCAAA
rnacentral:rRNA from 1 species